rnacentral:lncRNA from 13 species
UGCAGAGCCACAAGGGGGCGCCCUAGACUGUGGUCUGGUGGUAAAGUCAUAAUGGAGGAAGGAUCUCCUAGAUGCUGGGUUCAGAAUGAAAUAGGAGCAUAGGCUGAGCAUCUAUCUGCAGGGGAGCUCACUGGGCAUGCACAGGGCCUCACUUACUAAACGCAGACACUUUCUGAAGUGGGUGCUUGUGCCACAUUGUGAUGAGCUCACAGCACAGCCAUCAUGUUGGUAGCUGAAAUUAGACAGAGGACGAAUAUUUACACCAUGGAAAUUGGAAACACUAGAAACCAGGGAUUUCUCCUCCUGUAGAGCCAGCGGUUAAAACUGCUACCUGCUCACCACUGCCCACCAGGCAGCAGAAGGUGCACACCUGAGAGCAGAUAACUGCAUUUGAGAAUUUCAACCUGCAUCUGACGUGCUUCUCCUGGAAAGCAAGAUGGCUGAGAUUGUCCUCUUUGUGAAGCCACCUAGGGGCUCAGUGACAGCAGCAGAUGGUGACGGGGCAGGAAGUGAAGUCUCCUCCAGUGCCAGAGGCUCAGGGUAUCUAAAGCCCCCACAUCCUCCCAGCUUCAUAGCUGGUUGUCCUUCCUGCCUUUACUCUCAUAGCAAG